rnacentral:rRNA from 1 species
AGUGAACGCUGGCGGCGUGCUUAACACAUGCAAGUCGAACGAGAACGGAUUAUAGCUUGCUGUAAUUGUCAGCUAAGUGGCGCACGGGUGAGUAAUGUAUAGAUAACCUGCCCUUAAGAAAGGAAUAACAGUUGGAAACGACUGCUAAUGCCCUAUAUGCCUUUAAUACAUAAGUAUGCAAGGGAAACGCUUUAGUGCUUAAGGAUGGGUCUGUAUGGUAUCAGUUAGUUGGUGAGGUAAUGGCUCACCAAGACAAUGACGCCUAACUGGUUUGAGAGGAUGAUCAGUCACACUGGAACUGAGACACGGUCCAGACUCCUACGGGAGGCAGCAGUGGGGAAUAUUGCACAAUGGACGAAAGUCUGAUGCAGCAACGCCGCGUGGAGGAUGACACAUUUCGGUGCGUAAACUCCUUUUAUAUAGGAAGAUAAUGACGGUACUAUAUGAAUAAGCACCGGCUAACUCCGUGCCAGCCGCCGCCGUAA